rnacentral:rRNA from 1 species
CCUACGGGAGGCUGCAGUGGGGAAUAUUGCACAAUGGGGGAAACCCUGAUGCAGCGACGCCGCGUGAGUGAAGGAGUAUUUCUGUAUGUAAAGCUCUAUCAGCAGGGAAGAAAAUGACGGUACCUGUUCAAGAAGCCCCGGCUAACUACGUGCCAGCAUCCGCGGUAAUACGUAGGGGGCAAGCGUUCUCCGGAUUUACUGGGUGUAAAGGGGGCGUAGACGGCAUCCCAAGUCUGGAGUGAAAUGCCGGGGCUUAACCCCGGAACUGCUUUGGAAACUGUGCGGCUUGAGUGCAGGAGAGGUAGGUGGAAUGCCUAGUGUAGCGGUGAAAUGCGUAGAUAUUAGGAGGAACACCAGUGGCGAAGGCGGCUUACUGGACUGUAACUGACGUUGAGGCUCGAAAGCGUGGGGAGCAAACAGGAUUAGAUACCCUAGUAGUC